UACGCGAAGAACCUUACCUGGGCUCGACAUGCAUCUCUAAUCGCGUGAAAGCGCGAGAUUGGGGAAACCCAAAAUUUGCACAGGUGCUGCAUGGCUGUCGUCAGCUCGUGUCGUGAGAUGUUGGGUUAAGUCCCGCAACGAGCGCAACCCUCAUGACUUGUUGCCACAGGCAUUCGCCUAGCACUCAAGUAAGACUGCCCAGAUCAACUGGGAGGAAGGUGAGGAUGACGUCAAGUCCGGAUGGCCCUUACGCCCAGGGCUGCACACGUACUACAAUGUCUAGCACAAAACGAACCAAAUCAGCAAUGACAAGGCAAUCAGCAAAGCUAGACUCAGUUCAGAUUGCAGGCUGCAACUCGCCUGCAUGAAGCUGGAAUCGCUAGUAAUGAUACAUCAGCUACGGUAUCGUGAAUACGUUCCCGGGUCUUGUACACACCG
rnacentral:rRNA from 1 species